GAUGUGAUUGGAUGGUUCUAUUGGUGGUAGAAAGCCAUUUGUUCGAAUAAAGCUAUUGAUUCUGUUAAGCAUAUAGAAAUUUUAGUAGUAAUCAUAUGAUGGAAUAACUCUACUUUGGAAUCCUAUGAUAUCUACCAUAAAGAAUCCAGAGGGUAUUCAAGGAUUCCCAAUAACUACAACUCGCUCGAUCAGGUAAUUGAUUAUGGAGUUUAUAAGCUUUGGAAAUACAAUAACGUUGGGCUGUUGGCUGAAAUGGAUAUCAGUUGAGAAGAUCCCGAGUAACUUUCUCAUCUUGCAAUUCUGUGGACAAGGCCCAACUAUAUUAUAUGUAGAUUAAAAGAUGCUUUGGUGUUGUUAGUUACUGGUGAAUAGAGAAGUCAUUGGUGAGUUUUUUAUGCUCUUCUAUUUUUAGUGAAUCACACCUCAGAGACAAUACAAGCAGUAGAUUCAAUUUCCCUUUGAAAUAGUAGAUUCAACAAGCUUCUAACUAUAAGCUUCAACA